GCAGGUGGCAAGCGUUGUCCGGAAUUAUUGGGCGUAAAGCGCGCGCAGGCGGUUCUUUAAGUCUGAUGUGAAAGCCCACGGCUCAACCGUGGAGGGUCAUUGGAAACUGGAGAACUCGAGUACAGAAGAGGAAAGCGGAAUUCCACGUGUAGCGGUGAAAUGCGUAGAGAUGUGGAGGAACACCAGUGGCGAAGGCGGCUUUCUGGUCUGUAACUGACGCUGAGGCGCGAAAGCGUGGGGGAGCAAACAGGAUUAGAUACCCUGGUAGUCCACGCCGUAAACGAUGAGUGCUAAGUGUUAGGGGGUUUCCGCCCCUUAGUGCUGCAGCUAACGCAUUAAGCACUCCGCCUGGGAGUACGGCCGCAAGGCUG
rnacentral:rRNA from 1 species